UACGAAGGGGGCUAGCGUUGCUCGGAAUGACUGGGCGUAAAGGGCGCGUAGGCGGAUGGCACAGUCAGAUGUGAAAUUCCCGGGCUUAACCUGGGGGCUGCAUUUGAUACGUGUGAUCUAGAGUGAGGAAGAGGGUCGUGGAAUUCCCAGUGUAGAGGUGAAAUUCGUAGAUAUUGGGAGGAACACCUGUGGCGAAAGCGGCGCACUGGACCACAACUGACGCUGAGGCGCGAAAGCUAGGGGAGCAAACAGG
rnacentral:rRNA from 1 species